rnacentral:rRNA from 1 species
AACGAACGCUGGCGGCAUGCCUAACACAUGCAAGUCGAACGAGACCUUCGGGUCUAGUGGCGCACGGGUGCGUAACGCGUGGGAACCUGCCCUUAGGUUCGGACUAACUCCCCGAAAGGGGUGCUAAUACCUGAUAAUGUCUUCGGGCCAAAGAUUUAUCGCCUUUGGAUGGGCCCGCGUUGGAUUAGCUAGUUGGUAGGGUAAAAGCCUACCAAGGCGACGAUCCAUAGCUGGUCUGAGAGGAUGAUCAGCCACACUGGGACUGAGACACGGCCCAGACUCCUACGGGAGGCAGCAGUGGGGAAUAUUGGACAAUGGGCGAAAGCCUGAUCCAGCAAUGCCGCGUGAGUGAUGAAGGACUUAGGGUUGUAAAGCUCUUUUACCCGGGAUGAUAAUGACAGUACCGGGAGAAUAAGCUCCGGCUAACUCCGUG